AACGAACGCUGGCGGCAGGCUAAACACAUGCAAGUCGAACGGGCGUAGCAAUACGUCAGUGGCAGACGGGUGAGUAACGCGUGGGAACAUGUUCUUUGGUUCGGAAUAACUCAGGGAAACUUGAGCUAAUACCGGAUAAGCCCGAGAGGGGAAAGAUUUAUUGCCGAAGGGGUGGCCCGCGUCUGAUUAGCUAGUUGGUGAGGUAAUGGCUCACCAAGGCGACGAUCAGUAGCUGGUCUGAGAGGAUGAUCAGCCACACUGGGACUGAGACACGGCCCAGACUCCUACGGGAGGCAGCAGUGGGGAAUAUUGGACAAUGGGGGCAACCCUGAUCCAGCCAUGCCGCGUGAGUGAUGAAGGCCUUAGGGUUGUAAAACUCUUUUGUCCGGGAAGAUAAUGACUGUACCGGAAGAAUAAGCCCCGGCUAACUUCGUGCCAGCAGCCGCGGUAA
rnacentral:rRNA from 1 species